GAUGAACGCUGGCGGCGUGCUUAACACAUGCAAGUCGAACGAUUAAAGCCCCUUCGGGGGUGUAUAGAGUGGCGAACGGGUGAGUAACACGUGGGCAAUCUGCCCCUCACUUCGGGAUAACUCAGGGAAACUUGAGCUAAUACCGAAUACUCCGGUCGGACCGCAUGGUCUGCUCGGGAAAGCUCCGACGGUGAGGGAUGAGCCCGCGGCCCAUUAGCUUGUUGGUGGGGUAAUGGCCUACCAAGGCGACGAUGGGUAGCCGAGCUGAGAGGCUGAUCGGCCACGCUGGGACUGAGACACGGCCCAGACUCCGACGGGAGGAAGCAGUGGGGAAUGUUGCGCAAUGGGCGAAAGCCUGACGCAGCAACGCCGCGUGCGGGAUGAAGGCCUUCGGGUUGUAAACCGCUUUCAGCAGGGAUGAAACUGACAGUACCUGCAGAAGAAGCCCCGGCUAACUACGUGCCAGCAGCCGCCGUAAAAC
rnacentral:rRNA from 1 species